ACAUGGCAUACCACUGCACUUGGAGCAGCCACUUGGAGCAGCCACUUGGAGCGACGACAGUCGGACAACCAGUUAGUGUCCAACCUUUAACUGCGUUUUAUGUGUCACCGAGUGUCGCCGAGUCUCUGUCUUGGGUAAUUUGCAUACUGCCGAGCGACGAGGCCGCGCAGGAAUUCGCAUCAAAGAUCGCCGCUGCGCUUUUCCUGGCGCCUUUUCAUUGAAAUGGGCGUUCCGCGGCGCCCACAUCGCGUCUGCUAAUGGCGCCCAUCAGUCUGUGGGAACACCUGCAGUUGGCCCACGCAGCUCCCACCUGGCCACGCCCACUCCCCAGAGCAGCACUCCACACCCAUCUUGCAACUAAGACCAGAUCACCAGCUCACCAGAGCUCCCCAAGUUGGGAAAACACGCAACGAUCGCACAGACAUCAUGGCCAUAAAUGAAACGAAGCAGAACAUUUUCCGCGGCAACUACCAGAGAUGGUUGCAAGUGACUAGAGCGGUGACUGAAAAGGUUACUUUUCUAGAAUACUUUAGCUAUUGAAAUACUAUUGUUUCCCUGUUUAUCAACUAAUUUCAUGGACACACAUCUAAGUUGAACAUUUAACUUCCUCUAAGACACCCAACAUAGCAACGAAGAAAAUGUAGCUAUGCAUUUGGACCACAACAUGGAUGCAUGGAGGCCUCGCAGACAAGGGGAAGUGUGUGGCGACUGUCGGCGCGUUUGCCUUAAAAAGGCGAGUCUGCCGAGGAUCACAGAUGUCGCCAGUGGGACCUGGAGGAUCGACUUGGGAAUGGGGAUCCAGACUGGCGAUCCAGCUGCGACUGGGGUCGCGACUGAGGCUGGAGUGAAUAUGGAGCCCACGCACUUGUCUAGCAGGCUGGCAAACAAAGGCGCCCAGUGCAAACUCAAUUUGCCGAGAGGAGUGGAAUAAAAGUCGGCGGCGGGACGUGGGAGGCCAAGUCACGACUUGGUCAAUCACCAGGCGACGGCGGCUCGCAACCCGAUCCCCAGCACAUAUUUGCAAGAGUUGGUCUCUUAAGGAGUUGCUCGCAUAAUUCGAACGGCUUUUGAGCGAUAAGUGCAAGCCGUAGUUUAUGUAUGAUGUAAACAGGAAAAAAAUCUAUAUACUCCCGAUAUUUACCUUUUAAAAAGUGUAGCAUGAAUCAUAAAAAGUGAAUAUAUAUCUUUUAGGCAACCUAAAGGCAUUUGGAGGUGAUCUGAUAUCCUGGCCAAUCAUCUUGAUUUUUUGCUGAGUGGAAUCUGAGUGGAAAGCUGGAGGAUGCUCCAUGCUGGGCACCCCAGAACAGAGCCUGCUGGCUCAUUAAAGCAACCAGCGAUUUUGGGUCGAUGGUCUGGGGUGCUAUCUUAUCAUAAAAAACGCGGUUGCCUCAACACCUGCAAGCCGCAUCAAACACGCAUUAGCACUCUGAUGGAAUUUCGCCUUUUUCGCGUUUUUUGUGGCUUUUCGGCGGUGCCGCAUAAAUUUCAAUCGUUAAAUUUCAAGCCUUAAUAAACUGUAAAUAUUUUAUCCGUUUUUGCGCGGGGCGCAUAUAAAA